rnacentral:lncRNA from 1 species
CCAACGACAUGAUAAUAUAUUUAGGGCGCUGGAAUGAGUCCCAUGAGACUUAUAUUUUAGGUUUCCUCUGCUGAAAAAAGCUGUGAAUGUUUGGGCAAUUGAACUUCAGCUUCCUGAUUUAUAGGGUGUUUUUUUCAAGACCAAUGUCUGGCACACAGCAGUCUAAGUAAUAGUUAUUCUGAUUAUUGACCUCUUAACGACUUCAAUCCCUUAUUUAUUCAUUCAUUCAUUUACCCAUUCAUUCAUUCCUACCCCCCAACCCAAAUCAAGUAAUGAACAUCUACAGUAAACCAAGAAACUUUAAUUAAUGUUCUUUUCUACCAUUGCACAAAGAUUUAGUUCUUUGAAGCAGUUCAGUGAAUUUUUCUUCAGUGUUCUUCAGGAAAGUACAUUACGGUAUCCUUCACAAUUCUUUCAUAAGGUUCCCAAUUACUUUGUGAGUACAGUGGACCAGAAUGAUUGUUUUAGUCCUACUUUAAUGGGGGACAAGGAGGGAGGAAGUUGCUGCAUGGGCAGCUGGAUACUCUGUGGGUAGAAGGUGGAGGUGGUACCAAUUUGAGAUAAAGACAGACCUGAGAUUUUCAUCAAAGUAAUGGCUUGUAACUGCCUCUCUCCCAUUUUCAUAUAUAACCCACAGGCUGAUAGUUGGAGUUUCUUAUUUGUUGUUUUUUUUUUUUUUUUUUUUCUGAGUAUGAAGUUUAAUUAAAUCAUAUUUUAUCUUUGUGUACAAAUUCUGGGUUAGGGCAAGUUGGGGUGAAUGGCAGGUCUAAUUUGCCAUCUAAAAUCAGGUCACAUGGCCCUGAGCUUGCUACAAUCUGGGGAUGAUGUUUUAACGUCAGGGGAUUUUAACUGAAUUUUAAAGCAAUAUAAUCACUAAUUGAAGAAUCUGCGAUUCAAGAAGCUGAAUUUUCAGACUAAAGUGUUGCACGAAUAUUUGAACAAUUAAAAAUGUUCAGACAUGCAUCAGAGGAAUAUGCUAGUUGAACCAAAAAUGUCUUAGCUCAUAAUAAAUAGAAUUUAAGGGUUACCAAAUUUUGGCACUUAAGAAAGACAAUUUUUUUUUAAGUGUUGUAUCAGUUUUAUUACAUAAAUACAAACAAGCGAGUAUAUUUGUUAUUAAAGGGACCAACCACCCACCAGAAUGGUAUAAUGAUUACCUUAAGCUAAAAAUAUCUGACAAACAGCAGCCUCAGAAAGAAAAUUUAUCUAAACUUCCCUUUACUGACUUAAGCAAAGCCAUAAUCCCCAUUCUGAAGGAGUUUUCUGUUCAGGAGAAGACUGAUUCUUAACACUGGCAUGUGAGACUUCAGCUGCCAUAACCCUCCUUUAGGGGAGCUUCCAGCCCGGAAGGACACUGCCCACAGCGCCUGAAUGAAAAAUUGUGUGAACAAGCCAGAUAGAACCCUCUGUACCUUCCCAUUAAAACUCUAAACCACCCCCACCUCCCUUGUUAACCUGGCAUAUAAACCAUGACCCCUGGUCAUGAGGAACCCCUCCUUUAGAUUGUUCCCAAAAGCUUGUGGAUUCAACUUUUCUCUUAUGUGAUGGUUAGCUCUAUGUGCCAACUUGAAUGGGCCACAAGGUGCCCAGAUUUUUGGUCAUACAGUAUUCUGGGUAUUUCUGUGAGGGUGUUUUUGGAUGAGUGUAAUAUUUAAAUGGGUUGAGUAAAGCAGAUUGCCCUCCUUAAUCUGGGCUGUCCUCAUCCAAUCUGUUCUGGUCCUGAAGAGAACAAAACGUUGACUUCUCCCUGAAUAAGUGGGAAUCCCUCCUGCCUGACUGCUUUCAUGCUAAGACACUGGUUUUUUAAGUCCUUCAGACUGGAAGCACACCAUUGGCUCUCCUGGUCCCCAGGUAUUCAAACUUGGACAGGACAUACAAAACUAGCUCUGCCUGGUUGCCCGUUUUCCUACUGAAUAUCUUGGGACUUGUCCGCCUCCAUAAUCUUGUGAGGCAAUUCCUUACACUCCAUCAAUCAUUCAGUCAACCAUUCCUACUGAUUCUGUUUCUCUAGAAACCCUAAUAUAUCUUGUUAAUCUCUGGAGAACUCUAACAUAUCUUGUUAAUCUGUAUGUUGUUAAUGAAUUCACCGUUCUCCACCCCCUUGGACAUAAGUUGGUGGAGGAAAAGUUUGUCCCCCAGAAGAUUUGAUGACGAGAAUGAAUUGUCUGUGACUCUAUCACUCACUCUGAAGGCUGCAAUUAAGAUUCUGAAACCUCCCACCAAUUAAGUGAAGGCAACUUUCACUUGACUUUUUCAAAAGAGAAAUGUCCAUAAUUUAGAAUUAUGAGAGAAAGCUUUUCAGUUAAAACUAGUUCUCUGGGUAUUGUGAUUCUUGGUUUGGAUCAGUCCUCCCCAGAGAUAGUCAUGUCCAUCUGUUACUGUCUUUUGUGUUACUGUUCUGUAUUGGGCUUUCCAAAAAGUGUUUUCUGUAAGAAUGAGGAUCAUAGGGUAGAAUACAGGCAUAGGUUCUAGAAAUCUGUGCUGUGUUUGUGGUGGUCUCAUAGACCAAUGAGUUUGUGAUUCUCACUGGACUGCCGCUCACUUGGACAAAUGUGGCUGGAAGUCAUCUAUAAAACUGGAUAAGGCUCUCCUUCCAUCUUGAUUUUGUGUUCGGAGAGCUCGGUUUACAUCCAGAGAGAGCAUUCUCGCUAAUUUUAUGUUUGCUGGGGGUACAGAUUGUAGAGUCUGUACCUGGAAGAGGCCUAUUGUCAGGUCAGUGUUCUGAGACAUGAAGUACUAUUAUCAGCUCUCAGGGGAUUGUCUAACCUAAAACCUUUCCUAUCUCAUUGCCUUUGUGGUGUUGAGAAUUCCCUUCUUAUUAUUGCCCAUCUGGAAUCAUGGAUUAGAUGGUUCACGAUUGGAGGCAUCUCACUUUUGUGGGAGACUGAAGCACCAUUCUUAUUGCCUGUGGUAACUUAUUUUCCUUCUUUCCAGCUAUCUUCAGGAGUUACUUUGGAUUACAGAGGCUGCAUUUUCUGUGUCCUCUUCAGGGGCACCUGUCGUUUACAUAGUUAAAUUGUAUUCUAAACCUGGGAGGUUACCUCUGGGUUUUCCCCUAAAAAGACUUACUGGUUUGUGUUACAUUUGAACAGUUUCCCAACUGUCAGCUAGGGGAUUUAUAGAGACCUCUCAUCCUAAACAAAUGCCCUCUUGGUACUUCUGGGAGGAUCAAAUUUAAAGACAAACACAAAAAAGUAUCAUGGCUAAAAGAUUCCUUUAGCAAAAUUAAAGAGAAGAAGUCAGAUUUAGAACAGAAAUUAAAGUUCCCCAUGAAUUCUCCUCUGCCUCCCUCCUAUACUCUCCUUUACUUCCAACUCCCUAUUCCUGCCCUCCUCCCUCAAGAUCUUUCAGACCUCUGGGCCCCUGUCCUAAAUCCAACUCUUCUGAAUCCAGGCCCACAUCAUCAAACAAUUCUUUUAAUCCUCCCGAAUUCUCAGGAUUCCCAAGAAAAAUCUCUUGAUCACCUAACCACCUGCUUUACAACAAUUACAGGAGGCUCUAAAACUGACCUCAAAACAUGGGGCAGUCAAGUCAUUCAUAUGAUUACUGUCAACCCAUAAAUAGCUCUAGCUGAAGCCUGCGAAAUAUAAGGCAAGGGUCAUUUCACUGUCCUUUUUUUUUUCUUUUUUUAAAUGAUUUUUAUUUUUUCCAUUACAGUUGGUUUAUAGUGUUAUGUCUAUUUUCUACUGUACAGCAAAGUGACCCAGUCACACACACACAUAUACAUUCUUUUUCUCACAGUAUCCUCCAUCAUGCUCCAUCACAAGUGACUAGAUAUAGUUCCCAGUGCUAUACAGUCACUGUCCUUUUGAUCCCACCUACUUUCUGUGACUCUGCGAUCAGGCACAAAGCAAUCAGACUCAACUAGCCUCAAGCCUUCCAUGAAAUCCCCAUAAUGUGUGUACCCUUCACCCCCACCACAAGGAACACAUGAAUCCCGUACAGUAGCUAAUUUUCUAAAUUACAAAAGUCCUUUACUUCUGUUUUCUGGAGAUCCUACCACAUUUAGAGAAGAACUAAAAAUAUGGGUGGCCAUCCGCAACCCCACUUGUAGGGAUGCCAGGGAAUAUCCUUCCCACCUCUGAUUAUAUUAGUCCCGUGACAAGCCAGAUAGGCCCCUAGAGAAAAUCCUCUUCACUGAAUACACAGAUGGCCGGACCUUGUCCCACGUUCUCUUCCACAUGAUCAAGAAGUGGUCCAACUGGAAGCUAAUAUUCAGGCCACUAGGGAAGCCUUCCUUCCAAAAGUUAACGGGGCUAAAGUAGAACUACGUGCUCGGAAAGGAGCAUAUUGAGCAUAUCCCAAAGCCUUUGUGGAAGGCAAUGCACACAUAUUCCAAUGACACAACUGAACUAAGUACAGAGGACUCAGAAGAUAGAAAUAUUUUAUGUCUUAAUACAAAAUCCCUAUGAUAGAGAGAAGCAAAUCCAGAAUAAUGGAAUUGAAUGGGCAGGCUAGUCUCCCUCCUCCCAGGAUUUAUUUUCUAGAGGAAUAGAGACUCUCAUGCACUCCCACUGCACUGUGUAUUUACCUCUACUAUAUUAUUAUUCUGAAAUCUUAUUUUUAAUAGUUCACAUAUGCCAGUAGGCCGGGGGUUCCCUGAAUGCUGGGACCAUACUCUUUCAGUAAUGUAACCUUAGCACCAAAACCUAUGUUUAGAAUAAUAUCCAUUCAUUAUUGAUUGGUUUGCUUAAUGAAAAUGCCAAGCAGGAAAUGAAGAAAACUUGGACAAGGUCACAAUGAGGAGCUAAUAACCACUCAGACAGAGUGAAGGAAAUUGUCUAGAGUAACUUCCAGGGUUUUGAUUGGCAUGCAGGAGAGCCUGUAAUGUAUUGCUUGUGAUUAACUUGGAGGUGAAACAAAAUAACGAAGACACUGUCAGCCUGGGAUAGGUGGCUGGGGUGAGGGUUAUUUUUCUAUCCAGGAUAUUGCCAGGUUUUUCAUAUAAAAAUAGAAGCAAAAUCAUUAAUUAUUAAGAUUCAACUAGUGUGUUGGAAUGAUCAACAGUAUCCAUGUAAAUAAUGUUUUCAUUUAUUAAGUUACCUAAGCAAGGUCAAGUAGCUGAGCCAAUUAUUGUUAGAUCUAGGUUCCUUGAAGAUGAGAUUAUGUAGGCUUUCAGGGAUCAUUCCGUCCCAGAGUUUAUAAUACAGAAAAAUAAAUUAGUAUCCUUACAUACUGGUUAUGUUCUAACUACAAUGCAAGGAGUUUGUGUGUUUCUUAAUCCACAUAUAUCCUGUUGAUGAUAUAUUGGAAGCUCAAACAGAAGUUUUAUCAGGAACCAGAUAGUAGAUAAUUUGCCUCUCUUGCUAAGGCAGCUUUUUGCAUGUACUGAAGUGUUUUUGCAGGUUGGGCCUGACUGGGAAUAAAACGACUUAGCUCACAGUUGGGGCAACGUAUGACCUCAAAGACUCAUUUUCAUCAGGCAGAAAAACAUCACCACUAACCAUCUCAGCAAGUAUCCCUCAGUGCAGACUGGAAAGGUCAUGUUCAUUGAACUUCCCAGGACUUGAGGUGUAAAAGCAGAUAUCACCUUUGUUAAAAGAAUGCUUUUCUGAGGUUUCUGCAGUUGAAUAUAAUAUUUGUAGAGAUUUAUAUGUAAGUGCUCAUUUUCACCCAUGUGAUUUCACCCAAACCACACCCAUGCUAUCCAUUUAUUUUUCUUAUGGGAAAUAAAUUAAUGACAGACUCAAUUCUGAUUUAACUAGCUUUACUAGGAUGUAUAGAAAUAGAAAAUAGAGGCAGAAUAUAGAAAAUAGAGGUAGAAUAUGGUCCUGAGCUUUGACUAGACCUGAGCGGUUGCAGUUGGUGUUCCACCAGUUCCUUAGGAUGUUAUCCUAGGACCAACUCUACUCGUCCAGCCUUCCUUCACUUCCAAGGAAGAGGGAAGAUGGGGGAAUCAAACAGCCAAGCCAUCCUCUGGGAAUUGCUACAGAAGCCACACCUGACAGGAGCCACAUCCACCCUGAAGGGGAAUGUGUCCAGCCCUUAAAGAAAUUUAAAUGGAGAUGAGGCUGAACAUCUAUCCUUU